AGUGAACGCUGGCGGCAGGCCUAAUACAUGCAAGUCGAACGGCAGCACAGCAGAGCUUGCUCUGUGGGUGGCGAGUGGCGGACGGGUGAGGAAUACAUGGGAAUCUGCCCAGUCGUGGGGGAUAACGUAUGGAAACGUACGCUAAUACCGCAUGCGCCCUACGGGGGAAAGCCGGGGACCGCAAGGCCUGGCGCGAUUGGAUGAGCCCAUGUUCGAUUAGCUAGUUGGCGGGGUAAAGGCCCACCAAGGCGACGAUCGAUAGCUGGUCUGAGAGGAUGAUCAGCCACACUGGAACUGAGACACGGUCCAGACUCCUACGGGAGGCAGCAGUAGGGAAUAUUGGACAAUGGGGGCAACCCUGAUCCAGCCAUGCCGCGUGAGUGAAGAAGGCCCUCGGGUUGUAAAGCUCUUUUGUCCGGAAAGAAAGCAAUCGGUUAAUACCCGGUUGUCUGACGGUACCGGAAGAAUAAGCACCGGCUAACUUCGUGCC
rnacentral:rRNA from 1 species